UCCAUUCUUUCUUAUCACCAUAAUUUUUUAUUGUUCCCUGCCGGAAUUGAGAAAUUGUCAUGGAAAUGUUUUAUUAUGUAUCUGCUAUAUCUGACUAUUACGUACUCUUUAAUUUGUUACAAUACUUUGUCUUACGUACAAAUUGGUUUCUAUGAAUGUAUAACCAUUGGUUAUGUCAUUUACUUUGGUACAAUUGCCUUUUUAACCUGGAUAAGUAUCAUCAGUUACGAUACCUAUGUCAGUCUUACGGACUUAGAUUGUACAACAUUAUUUCGUAGAUAUUUCAAAUGGGGCUUUGUUAUACCUGGUGCAAUUACAUUUAUAAUAAUUGUAAUACAAUCGUUGAAAAUUAUUGAUGAAAAAUAUAAGCCGGGCAUAGAUAAUGAUAGUUGUGGAGUUAGAGUUAACCGCUGGUCGGCAUUUUUUUAUUACUAUAUACCUCAUAUUAUUGUAUUAGUUUAUUGUACUAUUAUGUAUUUAAAACUGAUUAGAUUUUUGGUGCUGAAUGAAAGAAACGCAACUGUAUUUGCUGGCAGAUUGAAAACAACCUUAUAUGAAAAGAUUUUCCCUCUAUUUUCGUUUGUUCAUAUUUAUGGGUGUUGUUUGGUUUUUGGAAAUACUAUCAUAUCUUGUGGAAAUGUUAAUAGGUCCAAAUAUAUUUAUUAUUAUACCGGACUUGUUUAAUGCCCUGCAUGGAUUAUUUAUAUUUUUUAGCAUUUUCAAUUCGCGUAUUUAUAGAUUUUUAAGAAAAAGAUGUUUACCUAAACGUUACUCUAGGCAAACUGAACUGACAAGAAGAACUUUUGAUUCAAGCUCAUCAACUUGACAACAGUAUUAUUUUAUUUUAAAUUAGCAUAAGUUUUUUAUUUUUAAUUAAUUACCCUUAACAGUUAAUAAUAGGAAAAACAAGUAAAAUUUAGUAUUUGUAGGUUUGUGCUAAGUCGCAAAAAACGAUCCUUCUG